CAGGCCUCAGGAGUGCCAUCACUUUUUACCAAAUGAAGAGGCAUGAAAGAUGUGCUCGCUGCAGUCCAAUAUGAAGAUAUAAAAUGAAUGAAGUACGGGGAGCAUAGGCCCAGUUUGGAAAUAGCCCAAGAAUUAACUCUUUGUGCUACCAUCUGAUUUCACAGUGUGUCACCUCUAGAACUUUACAUCAUUAAUCACUGACAUGCUACCAGGCCUCAGACAAGCCUAGAGGCUUUCCCAGGAUUCCCUGCUGGUUGGCAGGUGAAGGAGUCACAGCCAAGGACUUUUUGAAAUACAGCCCAGGUACAAGACAUAUUAAGCUGGAGUGGCCAUUCCCAGGAACAAUGGAACGCCCUAAUCUGUUGUUACCUGUAAACCCCACUCCAAUCACAUUGAAUAAUUAAAAAUCUGAUUAUUUUAUUAACUUGAAAUUUAAGUAGAAACAAAGAGACACCAUAAAUCACUGGGCAUUUGUAAAAGUCACUAUAUUUCACGUGCAGCAAGAUUAAUGUUCCUCCCUCCCCCGCUUUACUUAUAAAAUGUAAAUGUUUUCUAGUGGCCCCAACUUCUGGAGAGCAGAG